UACGGGGGGGGCAAGCGUUGUUCGGAAUUACUGGGCGUAAAGGGUUUGUAGGUGGCCCGCUAAGUCACACGUGAAAUCCCUCAGCUUAACUGGGGAACUGCGUGUGAGACUGGCAGGCUCGAGGGCAGGAGAGGAACGCGGAAUUCCAGGUGUAGCGGUGAAAUGCGUAGAUAUCUGGAGGAACACCGGUGGCGGAAGGCGGCGUUCUGGACUGUCUCUGACACUGAAGAACGAAAGCCAGGGGAGCAAACGGG
rnacentral:rRNA from 1 species